UCGGCCACGUGUUGCAUUGAUCUGUACUGUGUUUUGUAUAAAACAGAAGUACUUUACAGGUAGAUAUCCAUAUCCCUGAACUGAGUGACUAGUGAAUCUCAACCAUUACUGAACAGUGACAGAGGCAGGAGAUGGCUGAGUCAUCAAUCUCUCUGCUCAGCAGGAGUCUCAACCCAAGCCCAAACCUCAAAAUAGCGAUACUGAAACAUUCUCAGAGAAGGAACUCGUGGAAAAGAUAAAUGCUCUACAAAACCCACCAUCUCCCCACACCAAAGAAGACCCUAAUGAAUUGAAUCUUCUUAAAAAGCUUAAAAAGCUACAUGAAAAAGGAAAAGCAGUUGGCUACACGACUGUGGAGUAUUCAAAAAAAGUCCUUGAAGAGCUAGUCUGUGAAAAAAAGAUGACUGUCCAAUAUCCCCGCCCAAAGAAUACACUGAUGAAUUGAAAUGGCUUGAAGACCUACUCGAAAAAGCAAAAGAGGAUGGCUACGCGACUGUAUGCGAUGGUACAGUGUUCCACUGCGGGGGAAAUUUGCUGUACACAUGUGCACACGUUGUAAGAAGUGAAGAUUAUCUUGGAGAUACGACUGUUACCUUUGAGUGGAGAAAUUUGGACGGCAAACACCUGAGACACACACAUACCCACCUCUACAAGGCGACCCCAGUCACAGAAUUGGUAUUUUCACAAAAAUCACCGAAGGUGGAGACGAAAUUGAUCUAGCUAUAUUUCGAGAGAACCAAAUCAAUGUUUCGCUGCAAGCAAUUGAGUUCAAAUCUAUCAUUUCAACAAAAUAUGAUCCUGAAGUACCUGAACACCAAGCGACCCCUAUCCCUAUAUCCCUUAGGGAAGAUGAUACGCUCUACCACAUCUACUGGGAUUUUCCAAAAUCAAGUACACCAAUUGCAACAAAAAUGUUUUGCAUUACAAAACAAAGUACAGACAAAGAAGUGAAUAGUGAGCGUAAAGAAGGAGAAGAUGUUGGACCGUGUUUUCCAUUCAACUCUCCAGCACUAAAAGGGGCCAGUGGGUCUCCUGUCAUGGUGUAUAGAAAUAUCUUUGAAGAAGAUUCUGAUGAAGAAGAUUCUGAUGAAGAAGAUUCUGAUGAUGAUUCUAAACGAUUUUGUCUUGUUGGGGUUAUGAGCGAGGGUUGGAAGAAGGUACAACUGGCCCAAUUACCCGAAUCAAUUAAACAGCAUUCUAACCUAAUGCAAACGCUUGAAAGGCGACUCAGAACUCUAGAUCGAGCAGAGUCAUUGGCUAAACAGCUUAUGGACAACACCACUGUACCCGUAAAGUGGAUGCAUACGUUGGAGCAACAGGUACAGCAAGCCAAGGAAAGUAUCAGUGAUGUCUUUCAAACAAAUGAUAUUGUCGGAACAGGACAACUAGCUAGAUCAGACUAACUACACGUAAAUCUUGACAAUCUUUCUACGCAUUGUAGUUGUUUACUAGCUUAUAAUUAUGCUAUAUUAUAUAACAUGCACCGUAGCUUGAUUACAGCUUUGUAUUUCGUACAGCCUUAUGCAUGAACUCUUUCAAUUUGUGUAAAAUGAUUCUUUAAAUAAACAAUUAAUUUAUCGAGA